UACGUAGGGGGCUAGCGUUGUCCGGAUUUAUUGGGCGUAAAGAGCGUGUAGGCGGCCAUGUAGGUCCGGUGUGAAAACUCGAGGCUUAACCUCGAGAUGUCAUCGGAAACCAUUUGGCUAGAGUCCGGAAGAGGAGAGUGGAAUUCCUGGUGUAGCGGUGAAAUGCGCAGAUAUCAGGAAGAACACCAAUGGCGAAGGCGGCUCACUGGUCCGGUACUGACGCUGAGGUGCGAAAGCGUGGGGAGCAAACAGG
rnacentral:rRNA from 1 species